rnacentral:rRNA from 1 species
CACGGCAUGACCCUGAGGCAACUUGGGGUUAUAUGGUCAAGCGAAUAAGCGCACACGGUGGAUGCCUAGGCGGUCAGAGGCGAUGAAGGACGUGGUAGCCUGCGAAAAGUGUCGGGGAGUUGGCAACAAGCUUUGAUCCGGCAAUAUCCGAAUGGGGAAACCCACUGCUUCGGCAGUAUCCUGCAGUGAAUUCAUAGCUGCUGGAAGCGAACCCGGUGAACUGAAAUAUCUAAGUAACCGGAGGAGAAGAAAUCAACCGAGAUUCCCUAAGUAGUGACGAGCGAACGGGGAGCAGCCCUUAAGCUGGAAUGGCUUUAAGAAAAACAAUCUGGAAAAGAUUGGCCAUAGCAAGGUGAUAGCCCUGCUAUUUAAAAGGGCCACUCCAGUGAAGACGAGUAGGGCGGGGCACGUGAAACCCUGUCUGAAUAUGGGGGGACCAUCCUCCA